rnacentral:SRP_RNA from 1 species
GCCGGGCAUGGUGGUGUGUGCCUGUAGUCCCAACUACUUGGGAGGCUGAGACAGGAGAAUUGCUUGAACCCGGGAGGCUGAGAAUGCAGUGAGCCAAGAUCGCGCCAUUGCACUCCAGCCUGGGUAAUAGAGCGAGAUUCUGUCUUAA